AGGGUUGAUUUGUGGAAGAGGAAUAACAGUACAUUAUUUACAGACAACACCAUAUAGGUUGUAAUAUCAAUUUAUAAACAUUUGAAAGCAGCCAAGUGUUGAAACUAAAAUUUGGAGGUGUCUGGGAAAGUGAUCUUUUGAACGCCAAGAACAUCUAAUGGCGUCGGCUAGUCGUGCCCACAGCGCCAUGAAUACAUGAGUGUUAUGGCGUACCAUCGCUGUCAAAGUAACUUUCACAUUUUCAAGCUUGCUUGCAUCCAUGACCUUGGCGAGUGAGUGACGUUUUAGUUUAUGACGUAAGCGUUCAAAAGGUUAAAAGGAAUAAAGGGCAUUUUUCGUCUCCAUAACGUAAGGUAAUACUGGAAGCUCCCGUAAUGUUACUUUUUCGAACACUUGACCGCGACUACUAACAAUUUGUCACUAUACAUACAAUACUAUCGACCCGGUAGGCCGGCGAAGCCAUUAUAGGACCUCAACAGUGCUUUUUAAUUGUUAUAAC